rnacentral:rRNA from 1 species
UACAGAGGGGGCAAGCGUUGUUCGGAAUUACUGGGCGUAAAGGGCGCGUAGGCGGCGCAACAAGUCACUUGUGAAAUCUUCGGGCUUAACCCGGAGCGGCCAAGUGAUACUGUCGUGCUAGAGUGCGGAAGGGGCUCCUGGAAUUCUCGGUGUAGCGGUGAAAUGCGUAGAUAUGCGGAGGAACACCGAUGGCGAAGGCAAUCCCCUGGGCCUGCACUGACGCUCAUGCACGAAAGCGUGGGGAGCAAACAGG